rnacentral:rRNA from 1 species
UAUACAUAUCCAUUAAGUAUUCUGCUCCACUUCCAAAGAGGGUCGGUCACGAGUGACGGCAUGGUGUCGUCGCCACACGUCAUCUUAGUGUAAGGUGUUCUUUUCAAUCGCUCUUCCAGUCUAGGUAGGUAGACGUACCGUUAUCAGUCACCCUGCUACCUACAGGAGGAGGGAUUCGACCGGCUCAACGAAUGGCUACUCAAGUUCGAUGUGUUCCCCGAGUUCCUCCUCUAACGUAGGGAAUCGGCGCUCGACCUCUCGUACGUCCGCCGCGACCACUUCUAUAGCCUCCACGGCCAGCCCGUCGAGCUGCCCGUCCAGUUCCACACCAGCUCCCUCCACUCCCUCUACAGGAUGCUGUAGCUCCUGUCGUAGCUGUGGAAGUGCCAGGCAAAACCCCGACGGGUUCUCGGGGGGCUCGGCGAACCGAACUAGUUCCCCAAGUACCUGUCCCACUCCUCGGACACCCGUUGGCGCAACUGAGCGGCGGUCUAGCGGCCUCUCUAGGUCGCGUAGUUUCCGCUUCACCUCCUCCAAUCGGUUGCCGCGUUCUCUAUGUUCGAGCUGCUACUAGAACAGUCCGGUAGACGGCGCUGUUGGUAGCUAGGAGCAGACGGCCGGGACAUGCUCCUACGCAGGUCCGAACAACCGUACCUUUCCGGUUGUCCUCUAGAUCAGUUCACCAACUUCCUCCCCCUCCCGCGUAGUUUCGCCGUCGAGUUCCACGACAGGUAGCAGCCUCAGCCGCCGGACCCGUUCUGCUGGGAUCGGUUGUGCCACAAGGUGUACGAUCUUCCCGUCAAGGUCACGGCCCGAAAACAGAGCCACAGGGAAUGUGGCCUGCAUUUCUUCUAUAAAGCGUCGUAUUAAGCGGUCCAUUCACCUCUUCUAACGUGGUUGCCACUUCUAACCCUACAAUUCCUUGAACACCUAGUAUAGGCUUUAAAAGAGUUCCUGUUCUCCACGCACGCACGUAAAGAAAAAGUUUUGUUCAUGAAUAACUAAUUACAAUACAUGGGAUAUUCGAGGCACACAACGAUGGUUUUAUCUCUAGUCAGGCGGUUGCUGUAAAAAAAUUGCGUCAUGUUAGCUUCAACGAAUGUAUGUACUCGUAUGUGAGUGGAGAUACUUGUGUGUGUGGUAUAGAGAUACUGGUGGAAGCUCUUUGAUUCGACUGUAUUGUAGAACUCUAACUGUUUCAGUACCAUGCAUCCACGGAGCACCAGCUGUCCUUGCAGAAGAAGGUGACUUGCUUGUAGCUACCUUUUAGAUUUUAUUUAGGUCUUUUUACGCUCGUAGUUAUAGUUCAGAUUUUUCAAAGGUGGUUCACCCGUGAUCUCUGAUUUCGAGCAUUCGUUAACGAGAGUUGAGGAUAUGCUUUCGGUAUAACAAACAAACGCUAUUUCUAAACACUCCAGUUGAUCUGCAUCCGAACCAUUUUCAUAUAGGCAUGCGUAGCCAAGCAGUACCUCAUACGUAUGUUGGAUCGACAUAAAUGCAUCGUAUAACUAAGUUACAAAUAUAAGAGUAUAAUAUAUAAUUACAUGGUCUUUAUGUUUAUUGUAAUACAAUUGAUUGAAAAACUUCUUUUUUUAGACCUUAUUAAGUUUCUAAAGUUUUUUAGUUUUAUUAUGAUAACCACUAAUUUAUUAUUGAAGUCACCAAUAAAGUUGUAUUAAUACGGUCACUUAUAAAAUUUCUUUUGUAUUUUUUAUCAUAUAAAGUUUUAGGUUAGUAAAAGUUGAUUGUAAAAGUGUUGAUAAAGUAUUUGAGUCUAAUUUUUUUAUUAAAGUAACUGUAAGUGUUAAUAAAGUGUUUAGUGUUUAAAGAUUUGAUACGGUUGUUAAAGUUUUUUUUACUAAAUUUAUAAAAUAUUUACAGUUGGAUCUUUAAAGUGUAUAAAGAAUACACUUAGUUUUCGUGAAGUAUAAAGUGUGUAGUGUUUAGACUUUCUUUUAGUGAAAGAAACUGUUUUUUCUUGGUUUUAUUGAAAGCAUAAAGUGUAUAGUGUUUUUAGUGAACGUGUUUAGUUUUGGUUUAGGUUUCUAGACAUGUAGUAUAGUCAAACGAAAUUAAACUCAUUAAAGGGAAGAUAUAGCCACUAUAAGUCUUUGUAGGUGUAUUAUAGUGGUAGUACAGUGUUUAGUAAGUGUUUAUGUUGCCUAACGAUCUUAUUUAAGUGAUUAUAAAGUAGUUUCUAGUGUUUCGUAUAAUGUGACAAGGUAAGGACAUUUGAAGUGUUUGACUUUGUACGAAAAUGUACGUUUACUUUAUUCGAAGUGUUUUACUUGGUUCUAAGUUUUUCAUAUAGAGUUUACUGUUCUUUUUACUGUUCGGUUUAUACGGUCAAGUGUAAGGUCUACGUGUUGGCUUGUUUAAAAUGUAUGGUAAAUCAUUUAAAAUGAAAAUUUUAUACACCAAUAUUUUUAUCUAUAAUAAGAAGUUGACCCAUUCGAAGGUAUCCCCGAGGAUUGAGGUAACAAUCCUUCAUCUGUGUUCUUUGACUUCGAGGCAUCGUUAAAGAGAGUUGGGAAUGUUCGAGUUGGAACAGCUACAAACAAACAUCAUUUAUAAUUACGUCAGUUGCUCUGCACGGGAACCAUUUAUACUUCAUAUAGUAUAUUGUUCUUUAGGAAAUAGAAGUGUUAGAUCACCGUUUCCGGUGAGAAAGCCCUGAGAUCUAUCUGUUCUCACUGCAUGAUAAAUAAAAGUACACCGCAUCACGUUCAAGUGAUAGUGGUACUGACCAAGAGAUAUACAGUAGACCUCGUUAGCGAGAGUGGAGGGAUACAAACCAAGUACAGUCUACAGUUACAAUGAGGUCUUGCCUCUUCUCCACUCUACCGUACCCCUCCUCCACCACUCUUACUUUCCAAUUGUCUUUCUUCUUUCCGUAGUGCUACAUCUUCAGUCACCACAAUAGGGAGAAAAACUUUCCUUUUUUAUCUUCCUUUUUUCCGUUGAAGCCUCCCUCUCCUCUCAACCUCCGCUAUCACCUUGGCUUUCACACUACUACCGCAGGUUUAUUCUUGUUUUCAAUGGGCGGAGAAAAUUAUAUUAUUGAUGUAAAGAUAAACUAUACAAGGUAAUAAUAUAUUAAUCAACUUAAAGGAAUGUUCCCACAAUAACGUAAAAAACGUUUGACCGGUGUCCGCGGUAUAUUUUCGUACGUGAAACGGUUGCUAUCAACAGUUUUCUUCAGAGUCAUCGUAGUGUUUUUAAUGGCUCUGUUUUAGAUAAAUGAAAGCUGGCAUGAAGGUUAAAACCUAUAUUCGAUUACUGAUAAAUAAAAUGUAAAACGUUUUAGUAUAUAUCCAUGAAUUAAUAUUAACUACUAUAUACCCUGGUUUUACACACCUGCUAAGACUUUCAACGAAACUAGUUCUCGUUAACACCAUCAUCUUAUUAAUGGUGAUGAGCCUUUCAACCACAACGACUUAGAACAACGAGACUAAAGUUACCAUCUCACAUAGUGGAUCGUGGAGAGAGGGUACCCCUGAGUUUUUUUAAUAAGAUGUUCUCUUAUAAAUUAACACUUCUACUAAUGGGGUUACUCAACUUUCUUCAUAGACUCUUUUAUGACUUUUUUACACUACCGAAUGGUAACCGAUAGUAUUGAUAUCGAUCAAAUAACCGAUCAUUUGGCUGUUUUUGUUUACUCGAUACCAUGUUACACGAGUUGAGGUAACCAAGACCUGUACUUUUACCAGGAUCACACCUCUUGUACUCUCCCUAUAAUAGAGAAUCGAUAGCACUGGAUGGAGGAGUGAACUUUUGAACGAACAACAUGGAUUCGUAUAAAGGCCUCCUAGUAUACUAAUUAUCUCUAUUUGACUAUACCCCUACCCAACGUCUUCUAAAAUAAGUACUAUUCGUUUCCCCCUUGAAUAUAUUUGUUCCUCUUUUAAUGAAGUUACUCAACUAAUUAGCCUUAUACGAAGUCGGACAACUAUAACUGUGAGUACCAUCACGUUUUUGUACAGCACAUGUACUAUACCAUGAACUAGAGUAGUGAAGCAAUAGCCGGCUCCUUUUAAAACAAUCAUAUGAUCCUCCAGUCGUCGGUAACAGAUGUCCCUUGUUCUAGGCGGCUAAUAGUUAGGUUCUCUUGUUACCUCUCGUGUUAUACGAACUAUUUAGGUACCUGAAUAGGGUACAUUCCGAUGAAAAACAGAAGUCCAGACGAUAACUGUACUAAGGUAGUGAAAACUCGAAGGUCCAAGAUGCACACGACCUAGAGCUUCUUACGGUUGUAAACCUAUCAACAAUAAACUUCCUAUAGUGUUUAAACGACGUAAACUCCAUAGAUCCUGAUCCUGCGUGUAUAUAAUGACUCGAAGGUUUUCUUUAACCCUUAAAUGUCAUGAACGUCUGUGACCUGGACUCCCUUUGUUUUUAUGUACUCAACGGUAGUUGUCAACAAGUCAACUCUGUUGACCAUGCGAAUAUACAAAGGUAUCCGUGAUCUCACGGGCACCCUUAUCCUUUAUACCUUAGUGAUCUUCUCAACAGUUUUUAAUUGUAGAGACUCAGAGGUUUGAAACACUUUCUCAAUCCGUGAGACUGACUUGAUUCUCACGAACUUUAAACCCGGUUACCUACCCUGUCGUCGAUGCUCUUUGGAAAAGACCUUAGAGAUUCGUCGGAGGUGUUUUAGGUUUAAGAGAGACAAAAACGACGACUGCACAGCGACCUAAAGUGCAGUCUUCCAACCCAGGGAUUUACAAAUGUUUGGAAGACCCGAACCCUAUCGGGUAAGAGAUAAGACGGAUCCACCUAAUUGACGAGAGAGGUCUUGAACAGGUAGUCUGAGUUGUUUUAUGUUGUCCUCGUACAAGUUUAGGAACCCCCAAACGGACGUGAAGUAAAAGAACUUGACGAUCACUAUCUAGUGGGUCUUCAUUUUGACUAGUAACCAGCACUGUUAUGUAAGGUCACAAAUUCACUUAAGCGUAAACUUACAUCUCGUCGGCCCGACCAUAAACGUGUUCUUCGAGACGUCCCUGAAGUUUCCGAGUCCAAACUAAAACCUCACGCCCUUUGUUUUCUAGACAUACCACUAAAACUUAAACCUAACCUCUUAGACAGAAGUCAAUUCGCACAGGCGUAACUAUAACUAACACUACCACGGACCCAAAGCCUCCACCUUCGAGACCUCUAAGACUAGUUCUUCUGUUGGUUACACAUACGGGGAUAAGAUUUAUAUUCGUCCGCAGAACUUCUUCUGUACGAUUUUGUACUUCUGUAACCUGACCGUUUGUUUUUCCUUCUCUUAACCGGACGGUUCUUACCCGGAACCCCACCUUUACCACCAUCCCGAGCGCUGUAGUUCCACCGUGGCGUUUCGGACCUUUCACACUGCUAAGCGUCACCAAGUCAACAACUAAGUGAGCGAAAGAGAAAGUUCCUGCCUUUACCGGCCGUGGUGUGACGUCCGGGCACCCCGUCACUACCACCCUCGCCGUUCUGCUAAUUCGAACCAGGAUGUCUCAAACACUGACUUCAAAGCCCUUGUAAGCCAAGUAAACCACGCAACAGGUUACAAAACUGUAGCGAGUGAAACCAGUGAUUGACGCCGUCGAUACCCGGAAAACCUUUUUCUGUUCCUUCAGGAAAGUUUUGAUGCUACGUCUCAUUAUCGUCGUAACAGCCGAAGAAACCAUCCCGACCGGUUAAACAACUACGUUAACCACAAAUACACGAAGGUAAGGGUCAGAUCGAAGCCGACCCACGGAAGGCUUUCUAAAGUUUCUCCGGACCUCGAUUAGAAAGGUAAUGGUAUCGUUUAUCGGUUCACCAAGCACGUGUACGAGUCCGUUCUAAAAAUUUACACCAUUUCUGACAUCUUUUGAAUACUAGAGUGUUAGUAAAAAUAAAAUCUAAUUCUAAAAAGAGGCAGUCGACAAUGUAAGAAUCUAAUUGACCGAACUCCGUCAAAAGCAGGGAGGUGCAAUUAGGAGUAAUAGUUUGUCAAUGAAUGGCAAUCUAGUUUUAUAAUUUUCGGCUCUACGGCAUUAGAAGGGGACCUCCGUUCUUGCUAUCAUUUAAUAGUCAGAGAGGAACUAUCGAAAAAAAGAGAGACAGUACGGGCCCGGAAGAGGACAGCUGUAGGUAGUUUUAACCGAGAUCCGUGCUGGGAUACAGCUCGUCGUGUAGGUGAAGGGACAAAACAGAGAGGGCGCGGAGUCCUUCCUUAGUUUUCGGUCGGACGAAACAGUCGCAAGUAUCCGGCUACCGCUACGAUGUCCGGUCAUGCUGUGCGGUUAGUACGUGUACAUAUAAAAUCGCUUGGUACACACACGUUAAAACGUGUGGUGUAUAAUAUUGAGAGGUUAGUGGCAUUUACACACACUACCAAGGGGAUUAACAUGGGUUAAACAAAUAAAGUUAGCACAGCGUUCAUUGCGUGUGCUAAAAAGGGUUUGUUAACACACAACAGUGCUCAAUUGCGUUGGCUUGACACACCCGCUAUAACGUCUGUAGAGAAAAAAGAAAUUAGUACACAGUAUCCAACCACCAGCGUAUGCAAAUUGAAAGCCUCUGUGUCAACUUAAAACACAACACUCUCUAAGGAAAUAGCGUGUGUCAAGUACUACACGCUAUCUCCACGAAUUAUCGUGGUAAGACGUGAUUACAGUCAUUCUGAUGGAGGAGAAUAGGUUCGCUCGAGGUACACAUCUCCCAAGGUUGUGGCUAAAAUAAGAGGGAACUCAGGAACUGGACCGCAGAGGAUAGGGUACAUGUUCGGGUUUAGAAGUGAUGUUCACGAUGUACUAAGAAUGGAUGUUCUUUCAAGGAAACGAGGUAGUAGGGGAUGAGAAAUUCUUAAACCAUCACUCGUCAUGCGUAGUAGCAGCCGUCUUUGAUGGUUGGCUCGGCGCAUAAACGUACAGGACAAGUGCCACCACCAAUUGAAGAAAUAAACGGUUACUAAAUGUCUCUGACGAAGUCGGAUAGUUGAAGACCCGGAUGACUCCGUUGUUAGUACAC